CACGUAGGGUGCGAGCGUUGUCCGGAAUUAUUGGGCCUAAAGCAUCCGUAGCCGGUCCUACAAGUCUUCCGUUAAAUCCACCUGCUCAACAGAUGGGCUGCGGAAGAUACUAUAGGGCUAGGAGGCGGGAGAGGCAAGCGGUACUCAGUGGGUAGGGGUAAAAUCCUCUGAUCCAUUGAAGACCACCAGUGGCGAAGGCGGCUUGCCAGAACGCGCUCGACGGUGAGGGAUGAAAGCUGGGGGAGCAAACCGG
rnacentral:rRNA from 1 species